rnacentral:RNase_P_RNA from 1 species
AGAGUCGCCCGGAUCACCGCGUUAUGAGUGGAUUUAUUUCGACUUGUACCGAGGAAAGUCCGGACUCCAAUGGGCAAAGUUGUGGGUAAUUCCCACCCGGAGAAAUCCGCGGGACCAGUGCAACAGAAAGUAAACCGCCACUUGUUAGUUUUCUAGGGAGUGGUAAGGGUGAAACGGUGGUGUAAGAGACCACCAGUACGUGAAGCGAUUUGCGUAGCUAGGUAAACCCAACUUGGAGCAAGACCAUGCAGGUGGCGUUUGAGUGUGCCCACACAAGUCACCGGGUAGGUUGCUUGAAUCUGUAAGUAAUUGCAGAUCUAGAUGGAUGGUGAUCUCGCUAGUAAUAGCAAGACAGAAUCCGGCUUAUAGGGCGACUCUUCUU